GACGAACGCUGGCGGCGUGCUUAACACAUGCAAGUCGAACGGAAAGGCCUGCUUUCCCUUGUGGAUUGCGGGUACUCGAGUGGCGAACGGGUGAGUAACACGUGAGUGAUCUGCCCCCAACUUGGGUAUAAGCCUGGGAAACUGGGUCUAAUUCGCGAUAGGACUGCAGGGUGGUGCCUGUGGUGGAAAACGAUUUUCUAGUGGCUGGGGAUGAGCUCGCGGCCUAUCAGCUUGUUGGUGGGGUAAUGGCCUACCGAGGCGGCGACGGGUAGCGGGCCUGGACGGGUGGACGGCCACACGGGGCCUAAGAUUACGCGCAGCAGCCGUCGGGAAGCAUGCGUGGGGAGUAUAGGCCUGUGGCCGGGAGGCUGAGGCGGCGACGCCGGGCGUGGGAUGAUGGCCUUCUUUCGACCGCGAGCUUUCGACCGGGCCGAAAGGGUAGUGACGGUAGUGGGUGAAGAAGCACCGGCUAACUACGUG
rnacentral:rRNA from 1 species